rnacentral:rRNA from 1 species
CCUACGGGAGGCAGCAGUGAGGAAUAUUGGUCAAUGGGCGCAGGCCUGAACCAGCCAAGUCGCGUGAGGGAAGACUGCCCUAUGGGUUGUAAACCUCUUUUAUAAGGGAAGAAUAAUGACUACGUGUAGUCAGAUGCCCGUACCUUAUGAAUAAGCAUCGGCUAACUCCGUGCCAUCAGCCGCGGUAAUACGGAGGAUGCGAGCGUUAUCCGGAUUUAUUGGGUUUAAAGGGUGCGUAGGCGGUAUUUUAAGUUGGUGGGAAAACGUCGGGGCUUCACCUUGAUUGGCCAUUAAUACUGGAGUACGAGAGUACAGACGAGGUAGGCGGAAUAAGUUAAGUAGCGGUGAAAUGCUUAGAUAUAACUUAGAACCCCGAUAGCGAAGGCAGCUUACCAGACUGUUACUGACGCUGAAGCACGAGAGCGUGGGUAGCGAACAGGAUUAGAUACCCCAGUAGUC